UACAGAGGGGGCUAGCGUUGUUCGGAAUCACUGGGUGUAAAGGGUGCGUAGGCUGUCCGUUAAGUCUGAUGUGAAAGCCCUGGGCUCAACUCAGGAAUUGCAUUGGAAACUGGCGGACUCAGAGUACCGGAGAGGGAAGCGGAAUUCCUGGUGUAGCGGUGAAAUGCGUAGAUACCAGGAGGAACACCGGUGGCGAAAGCGGUUUCCUGGCCGAGUACUGACGCUGAGGCACGAAAGCGUGGGAAGCGAACGGG
rnacentral:rRNA from 1 species